GGGGAAUCUUGGACAAUGGGCGCAAGCCUGAUCCAGCCAUGCCGCGUGAGUGAUGAAGGCCCUAGGGUUGUAAAGCUCUUUCGCCAGGGAAGAUAAUGACGGUACCUGGAUAAGAAGCCCCGGCUAACUCCGUGCCAGCAGCCGCGGUAAUACGGAGGGGGCUAGCGUUGUUCGGAAUUACUGGGCGUAAAGCGCACGUAGGCGGCUAUCCAAGUUGGGGGUGAAAUCCCUGGGCUUAACCCAGGAACUGCCUUCAAAACUGGAUGGCUAGAGUCCGAGAGAGGUGAGUGGAAUUUCCAGUGUAGAGGUGAAAUUCGUAGAUAUUGGAAAGAACACCAGUGGCGAAGGCGGCUCACUGGCUCGGUACUGACGCUGAGGUGCGACAGCGUGGGGAGCAAAC
rnacentral:rRNA from 1 species